rnacentral:rRNA from 1 species
AACGAACGCUGGCGGCAUGCCUAACACAUGCAAGUCGAACGAACCCUUCGGGGUUAGUGGCGCACGGGUGCGUAACGCGUGGGAAUCUGCCCUUGGCUUCGGAAUAACAGUUAGAAAUGACUGCUAAUACCGGAUGAUGUCGCAAGACCAAAGAUUUAUCGGCCAGGGAUGAGCCCGCGUAGGAUUAGGUAGUUGGUGGGGUAAAGGCCUACCAAGCCGACGAUCCUUAGCUGGUCUGAGAGGAUGAUCAGCCACACUGGGACUGAGACACGGCCCAGACUCCUACGGGAGGCAGCAGUGGGGAAUAUUGGACAAUGGACGCAAGCCUGAUCCAGCAAUGCCGCGUGAGUGAUGAAGGCCUUAGGGUUGUAAAGCUCUUUUACCCGGGAUGAUAAUGACAGUACCGGGAGAAUAAGCUCCGGCUAACUCCGUGCCAGCCGCCGCGGUAA